rnacentral:rRNA from 1 species
GGUGACUGCGUACCUUUUGUAUAAUGGGUCAGCGACUUAUAUUCUGUAGCAAGGUUAACCGAAUAGGGGAGCCGGAGGGAAACCGAGUCUUAAUUGGGCGUUAAGUUGCAGGGUAUAGACCCGAAACCCGGUGAUCUAGCCAUGGGCAGGUUGAAGGUUGGGUAACACUAACUGGAGGACCGAACCGACUAAUGUUGAAAAAUUAGCGGAUGACCUGUGGCUGGGGGUGAAAGGCCAAUCAAACCGGGAGAUAGCUGGUUCUCCCCGAAAGCUAUUUAGGUAGCGCCUCGUGAAUUCAUCUCCGGGGGUAGAGCACUGUUUCGGCUAGGGGGCCAUCCCGGCUUACCAACCCGAUGCAAACUGCGAAUACCGGAGAAUGUUAUCACGGGAGACACACGGCGGGUGCUAACGUCCGUCGUGAAGAGGGAAACAACCCAGACCGCCAGCUAAGGUCCCAAAGUCAUGGUUAAGUGGGAAACGAUGUGGGAAGGCCCAGACAGCCAGGAUGUUGGCUUAGAAGCAGCCAUCAUUUAAAGAAAGCGUAAUAGCUCACUGGUCGAGUCGGCCUGCGCGGAAGAUGUAACGGGGCUAAACCAUGCACCGAAGCUGCGGCAGCGACGCUGAUGCGUUGUUGGGUAGGGGAGCGUUCUGUAAGCCUGCGAAGGUGGCCUGUGAGGGUUGCUGGAGGUAUCAGAAGUGCGAAUGCUGACAUAAGUAACGAUAAAGCGGGUGAAAAGCCCGCUCGCCGGAAGACCAAGGGUUCCUGUCCAACGUUAAUCGGGGCAGGGUGAGUCGACCCCUAAGGCGAGGCCGAAAGGCGUAGUCGAUGGGAAACGGGUUAAUAUUCCCGUACUUGGUGUUACUGCGAAGGGGGGACGGAGAAGGCUAUGUUGGCCGGGCGACGGUUGUCCCGGUUUAAGCGUGUAGGUGUGUGUUCCAGGUAAAUCCGGUUCACUUUAACACUGAGGCGUGAUGACGAGGCACUACGGUGCUGAAGCAACAAAUGCCCUGCUUCCAGGAAAAGCCUCUAAGCAUCAGGUAACAUCAAAUCGUACCCCAAACCGACACAGGUGGUCAGGUAGAGAAUACCAAGGCGCUUGAGAGAACUCGGGUGAAGGAACUAGGCAAAAUGGUGCCGUAACU